GUGUGUGAGGCCUGUAGCUUUACUCAGAAACCAAUCCCAUGGUUCUUUGUUUAGCCUCACUUUUCUUUGUUGUUUGCUUGCUUUCUGUGUUUUGGGGUGGGGAUCUCAGUGAGGAGCCUAGGCUGUCAUAGAAGUCAGUAACCCAGCCCUUCUUUCUAGAAGGUGGAUGUUUUAUGUCACCCUGCCUCAGCUUGCAUUGCUGGGAUCAAAAGCAUGAGUCUGCAAGCCUGCUCAAAGGUUUUCAUUGAUUUCCUUUUAGGAAUUGCAUCCUAAUGCCUUUAUUUAUUUAUUUUAUGUAUAUGAGUGCUGUAUCUGCAUGCCUACAUGCCAGUAGAGGGCAACAGAUCCUAAUGAAGAUGUUUGUGAGCCAUCAUGUAGUUGCUGGAAAUUGAACUCAGGACCUCUGGAAAAGCAGACAGUGCUUUUAAUGGCUGACUUCUCUCUCUCCAGCCCCUAAAAAAGAUUUUAAUUAGAAAUGAACUUAGAAUAUAAACUUGGCAGUCAGAAUGCUGGGAUCUUACCCAUGGCUAUAUUAUUUAACAAUUUAUCUUGUCUCAGCUUUUUUUUUUUCUCAGUUGUAAAACAAGGAUAACUGUUGUGUUAGUAAGCUAGUGAGCUAUCUGCCAGAGCCACAAACUACUAUGAAAAUCAACUUAAAAAGAGAAAGGUUUAUUUGGGAAUUUUGGAGUUUUCAGCACGUGGUUAGUUGGCCUGUAGACUAAAAUGAUUAUUAAUAUGGCAAUUAUUCCUUAACCAGAUUUUCCCCAAAUAACCACACAGAGACCUUUUCAUAUUUAAAAGCUUAGGUCUUAUCUGGGCAGGCUUUCAUCUAAGUUAACUUGACCACCUAGCCCCAUCCAGCCAUGUGGCUAGCUAGCCAUACCUUCCAGGCCUGUGGUCACAUGGGUCUCCUCUCAUAACUCCUAGCAAAGGCUCUCCUCGUCCUAUCCAGGGUACUUUUCUUCCACUUCCUGCCCAGCUAAUUGGCCGUCAUAUUUUUUAUUAGCCAACAGUUUCUUGUAUAUAUUGAUUGCUUUGAUAAUAGUGUUUUGUCAUAGCACUGAAAAAGUAACUUCAGUCUAGGCAUCAUACCUUUUACACUUGGGAGGCUAGAGGACAGUUACCUACUAUAGCAGUUACCUCAUAAGAUUGCUGUGAGUAAUAUGAAUAUAUAUAUAUACACACACACACACGUAAAACAAACUCACUCAUUUAAUAAGCACCACGUGUUAGUUAAUGCUUUUCUUUCUUUCUUUCUUUCUUUUUUUUUUUUUUUUUUUGAGACAGGGUUUCUCUGUGUAGCCCUGGCUGUCCUGGAACUCACUCUGUAGAGCAGGCUGGCUUCGAACUCAGAAAUCCACCUGCCUCUGUCUCCCUGCAGAGAUUAAAGGCAUACGCCACUACUGCCCUACUAUUUUCUUAACUAGUAGAAAAAAUCCCCUUGCUUAUCUUUCAUCACUCUAUCUCAUACAUUUGGACAUUAGGGAUUUUUGUUUGUCUUGUUUUUAGUUUGUUUUUUUAUUUUUUUAAUUUUAGUUGCUGAUCUUGACAUUAUAGAUUGAUUGAUAUAGUGAGAAAGAAUAGAAAAGAGUGUUAUGAUUUCUUUGUGCUUUGUAAUCUGUAAAUUGAUUUUUCUUUUUGCCAUUAUAAAAUACGUUGAAUAUUUGAGGAACUCCAGAUAUUCUGGUUCUGUGACUCAGAGCAAGCCAUUAGGGAGAUUGGAAUUGGAGCUUGGGACUUAAUUGAUUGUCACAGCUUUCUUCAGCACUUUUCUUUUGUCCUCCUGUGCAUUGUUCCGUAUUUUCCCUUUUUUUUUCUACAACCCUCCAAAAGGAGGAGGGGCACUAUAGAAGAGAAGGAAACAGGCAGUUAUAGGCAUUGUUCAUUGAUAAGGCAGUACUGUGGGAGGGCAGAAGGGGAGGCUACGCUUUGGAAGGACCCAGACUUAAGGACACAACAGGGACAUCAUUCAGUGGUAAGUGUCAGGAUGCUGCAGCUGUUUGAUUCUACACAACUCUCUCUUUCCCCUAGUAGUUUUUCCAGUUGUCGAACAUAGUACAGUGGUCUCCUCUUAUCCACGGUUUCCUUUUCCUUGGUUUCAGUUGCCCAUGGUCAAUCACAGUCUGAAAAAACAUCAAAUGGAAAAAAAUCCCAACAAUAAGCAAGUCAUGGUUUUAAAUUGCACUCCAUUCUCAGUUGUAAGGUAUACUCUUGGCAGACACUGUCUCUAUCCAGCCUUGUGUGCUCCCUCCCCAAACGAGAUGGAGUCAUUCUGUAUGUCCCCAAGCCUGGUUGUUCCUGGCUUUUUAUAUGACUGUCUCACUAGUCACUUGCCUUGAUUAUGAGAGUGAUUGCUGUGCUUUUAACAUUUCUUGUGCAGUUUUAUUUAAUAAUGACCCCAAGGUUCAAGACUGGUGAUGCUGUUGAUCUGAGCUUGUUAUAAGAGAAAAGGUCAGAGUUCUUUAGUUAUAAAGAGAAAAAUAUAGUCAUGCGCCAAGCUUGCCACAAUCUAUAGUAAGAAUCAAAAUCUGAAGACAGAUUUGUUGGCAAUAUAAAACUGUAAAAGUUAUAGCCACAGUGAUAUAUAUAUAUAUACAUAUACACAUACAUACAUACAUAUAUAUGAAUGAUUACAUAUAUUGUUAUAUGUAAUCAACUUAGAAAAGGCAUUAAAUUACAGGGUUAUGUCCACUGGCAUUUUGGAACGUUGUGGGUAAGUGAAAGACUACUAUUUUUCUCAAACUUGCUAGGGACAUAUUUCAUGAAAUAUAAGUUUCCAAAUUUGGAACAGUUGAUGAAGUAUAAAAAAAAC
rnacentral:lncRNA from 1 species